rnacentral:rRNA from 1 species
AUGCCUCCGCACCGGCCAGUUGAAUUUGUUAUUGAUCUUGAGCCUGGCAUGGAACCUGUGUGCAAACGUCCUUACAAGCUCGGACCUGAAGAGUUGAAGGAGCUGAAGAAGCAACUCAAUAUUCAAGAGAAAAUGGGUCUUAUCCGGCCAAGUUCUUCUCCGUGGGGUUGUGGUGUUCUUUUUGUGAAGAAGAAGGAUGGAACGGACCGACUUUGUGUUGAUUACCGUCCAGUGAACAAGAAGACCAUAAAUAACAAAUAUCCACUUCCCAACAUCAAAGAGCUGUUCAAACAACUCAAAGGUGCCCAAGUAUUCUCAAAGCUUGAUCUCCGUAUGGGCUAUCAUCAGAUUCGUAUUCGUGAGCAAGAUAUUCCCAGGACGGCUUUCAAGACAAGUUUUGGUUCUUAUGAAUACACUGUCAUGUCUUUUGGCCUCGUCAACGCUCCUCCGACGUUCUCUCGCAUGAUGAACUUCAUCUUCAACGCCUACACCAAUGACUUCGUUUUGGUCUAUCUCGACGACAUUCUGGUUUUCUCGAAGAACAAGGAAGAUCAUACCAAGCACUUGCGUUUGGUACUCGAUAAGCUCAGGGAACAUCAGUUCUACGCCAAGUUCUCCAAGUGUGAAUUUUGGCUUGAUGAGGUUCUUUACCUUGGUCAUAUCAUCUCUGCCAAGGGUAUUGCCGUGAAUCCUGAGAAGGUGUCUGCAAUUGUGAAUUGGGAACCUUCUCAGAACGUGAAGCAACUCCGUAGCUUCCUCGGUCUCGCAAGCUAUUGUCGAAGAUUCGUUGAAAACUUUUCUAAGAUCGCGAAGCCUCUCUCUAAUCUUCUUCAGAAGCACGUCAAGUACAUUUGGUCUCCGGAGUGUGACAUUGCUUUCAACACUUUGAAAAGAAAUUGA